CCUACGGGUGGCUGCAGUGGGGAAUAUUGGACAAUGGGCGAAAGCCUGAUCCAGCCAUGCCGCGUGUGUGAAGAAGGCCUUCGGGUUGUAAAGCACUUUCAGUGGGGAAGAAAGCCUUGGGGCUAAUACCCUCGAGGAAGGACAUCACCCACAGAAGAAGCACCGGCUAACUCCGUGCCAGCAGCCGCGGUAAUACGGAGGGUGCGAGCGUUAAUCGGAAUUACUGGGCGUAAAGCGCGCGUAGGCGGUCUGAUAAGCCGGUUGUGAAAGCCCCGGGCUCAACCUGGGAACGGCAUCCGGAGUGGUCAGGUGAAAGGGAAGGGAGGAAGGGUAACUUCCCCGGGCGAGCGUUAAAUGGGGAAGAGACCGGGAGGAAGAGGAGGGGAGAGGGGGGCCUACGGGACGGAAACGCCCGUGGGGGGGCGAAGGUGUGGAAAGAAACAAGGAUAAGAGACCCCAUAGUUG
rnacentral:rRNA from 1 species